GAUGAACGCUGGCGGCGUGCCUAAUACAUGCAAGUCGAGCGAACAGAUGAGGAGCUUGCUCCUCUGACGUUAGCGGCGGACGGGUGAGUAACACGUGGAUAACCUACCUAUAAGACUGGGAUCACUUCGGGAAACCGGAGCUAAUACCGGAUAAUAUAUUGAACCGCAUGGUUCAUUAGUGAAAGACGGUUUUGCUGUCACUUAUAGAUGGAUCCGCGCCGCAUUAGCUAGUUGGUAAGGUAACGGCUUACCAAGGCAACGAUGCGUAGCCGACCUGAGAGGGUGAUCGGCCACACUGGAACUGAGACACGGUCCAGACUCCUACGGGAGGCAGCAGUAGGGAAUCUUCCGCAAUGGGCGAAAGCCUGACGGAGCAACGCCGCGUGAGUGAUGAAGGUCUUCGGAUCGUAAAACUCUGUUAUUAGGGAAGAACAAAUGUGUAAGUAACUAUGCACGUCUUGACGGUACCUAAUCAGAAAGCCACGGCUAACUACGUG
rnacentral:rRNA from 1 species